CCAAAAUGCCUGUGACUACACCAAAGCCAGCCGUCAAAAGGGAAGCGUGUCAAAGACGCCCAAAUAAUGUGAUGUAUUCUAUUGUCUUAGUCCAUAUAACAAAGUAUCAUAGACUGGAUGUGCUAAACAAGCAUUGAUUUCUCACGGCGCUGGAAGCUUAAAGAUCCAAGAUCGAGGAGGCAACGGAGUCAGGUUUUAUCUUUCAGCAUGAACUAUAGAUAAGAAGAAUGGGAGAGGCCAGCAAAAUAAAGAGGCUUAAUUUCAAUGGAUUCCACUCUCUUUCUCGCAGUAUAUCCAUGUCAGCCAUGGUGCCAGAAACUAAAGUAUCUUUCAGGUUGCUUUGCUUCUCUGCUGGACUUGAAGCAAAUAAUUGACACCAUCUCCAUUGGGACUCCAACUGAUCCAUCAUCAAAUCUUCCCUUUUCUUCCUGAGAGAACUCAGGCAGACAGACUUGCAUAGGAAUUCUGGCCUCAUCUCACCCUGUGACCAUGUGCAUGAUAGUUAACCUCUCAGGCUGCAUUUAUACAUCUGUGAAAUGGGGAUGAUAAGAUUCAUCAAUCAAGGAUCUGUAGAAGAAAUGCAACAAGAUGCAGAGCUGCCUAGCUAUUUACAACAUAGUAAAUAGUAAAUGUGAGCUGUUACCCCAUCUGAGGGACACAAAGAAUCCAGUUAAAAUUUGACUGCAUGAGCUCAGAGUGCAUAUUCAGCUUGGUGUUAUACAUCUUAAAAAAAAAAUCAGAAUGUUUGUCUCUAUUACAGAAAUCCUGAGAUUAAAAAAAAUACCAAUUUGUUCCAAGUUUUUCCUUUCCCAGGGGUUUUAACAGACUCACAGGUCCUAUUUUGAUAACCUACUACAUUUGUCUAGGCAUUCACUUUAAAAAGUAACAAAUAUAAUAGUUACUUUAGCCUCAGCUUUGUAGAUGUUUUACAUGGGUAUUAUUUUUCAGACAAUGAAUGAUAUCUGAUUAUUCUGGGAAAAUCAGAUUUGACUUGAGGUUUCCUCCUUGGCUUUUAUUUACAAAUCAAAACAAUGUACUGAAAAGCACGUUGAAAAGAAUUUUUCAAGCACAUUGUUGUGUUUCCAGAGGAAGAAGCUACAACCUCAAGUGAACUUCCUUGUUCUUAAUACAUAUUUUAGUUUUUUAAAAGUUUUUCUCUCCUACAAGUAGAUUUGCCUUUAUACUUUAACAUUCUUAUUAUUAAAAUUCAUUAGACAUGGAUUACAGCAGAAAACACUAUUCAACUAUUGUAACUAUGAAUCCUGUGAGUUUUCUGUCUACUGUAUCUCCUACUGUAUCUCCUAAACAGCAUGGAAGGGAAAUAGUCACAUGAUUAUUAGCACUCUAGAGUUUAUGGGGGUCAGUCACUCUUAGAAGACAGUAAAAGGGAGGAAGCAAAAUAUAUGACUGUCAACUAUGAUGUUUCUGGCUGAUGAAUAUAAAUAUUCUGGUUUUCUUGCAGACUGUAAGUUUCCUAUCUUAAAUUUCAAUGCAGAAAAACAUUGAAAGGUUAUUAUAAAACACUUUUUCUACAUUGAAUUGCACAUGAAAUUAUAUAAAAAAUAUGCAAAGAAAUCCCCUUUUGGCAAUCAUAAUAAAUAUGAAUUUAUAGCCUUGUGUUCAUUUAAGUUAUUCAACAAUGACUUUUUAAAACUUACUAUUUCAUGUGUUCUAUAUUGAACACAAAAGUCACAGAAAUAAACAACUCACAGUGCUUUUCUCCCAGGGAUUUAACCAUCUAGGGAGACAAUUUCCAGUCCACUUCACUUUCAUGAAUAUAAGUUACAAAAAUAGAUUUUUCCUUAUCCAAGAAUUUAGUCAGCAUUUUUUAAAAAUUUUUUUAUGAUAGCCACCCACAGAGAGAGAG